rnacentral:rRNA from 2 species
UGCAGUCGACGAGUUCUGAUUAUUGAAAGGUGCUUGCAUCUUGAUUUAAUUUUGAACGAGUGGCGGACGGGUGAGUAACACGUGGGUAACCUGCCCUUAAGUGGGGGAUAACAUUUGGAAACAGAUGCUAAUACCGCAUAAAUCCAAGAACCGCAUGGUUCUUGGCUGAAAGAUGGCGUAAGCUAUCGCUUUUGGAUGGACCCGCGGCGUAUUAGCUAGUUGGUGAGGUAACGGCUCACCAAGGCAAUGAUACGUAGCCGAACUGAGAGGUUGAUCGGCCACAUUGGGACUGAGACACGGCCCAAACUCCUACGGGAGGCAGCAGUAGGGAAUCUUCCACAAUGGACGCAAGUCUGAUGGAGCAACGCCGCGUGAGUGAAGAAGGCUUUCGGGUCGUAAAACUCUGUUGUUGGAGAAGAAUGGUCGGCAGAGUAACUGUUGUCGGCGUGACGGUAUCCAACCAGAAAGCCACGGCUAACUACGUGCCAGCAGCCGCGGUAAUACGUAGGUGGCAAGCGUUAUCCGGAUUUAUUGGGCGUAAAGCGAGCGCAGGCGGUUUUUUAAGUCUGAUGUGAAAGCCCUCGGCUUAACCGAGGAAGUGCAUCGGAAACUGGGAAACUUGAGUGCAGAAGAGGACAGUGGAACUCCAUGUGUAGCGGUGAAAUGCGUAGAUAUAUGGAAGAACACCAGUGGCGAAGGCGGCUGUCUGGUCUGUAACUGACGCUGAGGCUCGAAAGCAUGGGUAGCGAACAGGAUUAGAUACCCUGGUAGUCCAUGCCGUAAACGAUGAAUGCUAGGUGUUGGAGGGUUUCCGCCCUUCAGUGCCGCAGCUAACGCAUUAAGCAUUCCGCCUGGGGAGUACGACCGCAAGGUUGAAACUCAAAGGAAUUGACGGGGGCCCGCACAAGCGGUGGAGCAUGUGGUUUAAUUCGAAGCAACGCGAAGAACCUUACCAGGUCUUGGACAUCUUUUUGAUCACC